GACGAACGCUGGCGGCGUGCUUAACACAUGCAAGUCGAACGGAAAGGCCCUGCUUUUGUGGUGUGCUCGAGUCGCGAACGGGAGUGUAACACGUGAGUAACCUGCCCUACACUUUGGUAUAACUUCAAGAAACUGGGGAUUAUCCCGGAUAGGCGCUCCUGCUGCUUGGUGGUGGUAGGAAAGUUUCGGCGGUUGGGGAUGGACUGCCGGCUUAUUAGCUGGUUGGUGGGGUAGUGGCUUACCAAGGCUUUGGCGGUCAGCCGGCCUGGGGGGGGGACCGGCCACAUUGGGACUGGGAAACGGCCCAGACUCCUACGGGAGGCAGCAGGGGGGAAUAUUGCACAAGGGGCGGAAGCCUGAUGCAGCAACGCCGCGUGCGGAAUAACGGCCUUCGGUUGGUAAACCGCUUUCGCCGGUGACGAAGCGUUUGUGACGGUAAUUAGUAAAGAAGCACCGGCUAACUACGUG
rnacentral:rRNA from 1 species